rnacentral:rRNA from 1 species
AAGCGUGCGCAGGCGGUUAUGUAAGACAGAUGUGAAAUCCCCGGGCUCAACCUGGGAACUGCAUUAGUGACUGCAUAGCUGGAGUACGGCAGAGGGGGAUGGAAUUCCGCGUGUAGCAGUGAAAUGCGUAGAUAUGCGGAGGAACACCGAUGGCGAAGGCAAUCCCCUGGGCCUGUACUGACGCUCAUGCACGAAAGCGUGGGGAGCAAACAGGAUUAGAUACCCCGGGU